CAAGUACUCCCUCUGUCCGGAAUUACUUGUCAUCAAAAUGGAUGUGUCUAGAACUAAAAUACAUUUAGAUACAUCCAUUUCAAUGAUAAGUAUUUUCGGACAGAGGGAGUACAAG
rnacentral:pre_miRNA from 1 species